GCACCCGCGGUAAUUCCAGCUCCAAUAGCGUAUAUUAAAGUUGUUGCAGUUAAAAAGCUCGUAGUUGGAUUUCUGCAAGGGUGCCAAUGUCCGCCGACGCGCGUGCGCAGCGGCGCCCUCGCAUCCUUCUGUUACCACCUCUCGGCAUUCACUUGCCGGUGGUCGGCUCAGAGAAUUUACCUUGAGAAAAUUAGAGUGUUUCAGGCAGGCUAGGCCGGAAUACAUUAGCAUGGAAUAAUGGAAUAGGACUACGGUCUCGUUGUUGGUUUGAGGGACUGCAGUAAUGAUUAAUAGGGAUAGUUGGGGGCAUUAGUAUUUAAUUGUCAGAGGUGAAAUUCUCAGAUUUGUUAAAGACUAACUUAUGCGAAAGCAUUUGCCAAGGAUGUUUUCAUUGAUCAAGAACGAAAGU
rnacentral:rRNA from 1 species